rnacentral:lncRNA from 1 species
CCGCCAACCCCACCCAGCCCUCAGACCCUUCCAGCUGCAGCUGUCGUCUUUGCUUCAGCCUUAGCCGCCACUGGUUGCCUGAGGUGCUCUUACAGCCUGUUCCAGGUGUGGCUUAAUCCGUCUCCACCACCAGAUCUUUCUCCGUGGGUUCCUCUGCUAAGACCGCUGGUGAGUGGGCAGUGGGCUUGGACUCCUGGGUCUGAGGGAGGAAGGAUUGGGUUCUGGACUCCUAGAUCCUGGGAGAAAGACCAGGAAGCUUGGGCUCCAAGGAAUAGGGCCCCAGACACUGAGAUAUCUGAGGAAGAAGCAUGGCCAGGCCCUGGCUCCCUUGUCUCGGGGAGCUGCUGUGCUGGGACUGCCGGGAAGAGGUUAAGACCUGUGCUACUGCCCUGCAAUGUGCCUGAAUCUGAAAGGAGGAAGUUACUUUCCUGUGGGCUAGGAGAGGUCAACUUGGGUUUAGUGGUGUGGCUGCAAUGAGACAGUUUACACCCUGAGGAAAGAACUGGGCACCUGGUUUCUAAGAGGACUGGCACUUGAUUCCUGGGGGCCGUUAGGACAAGGAGGUGAAAGCUGUAGAUUUUGCAAGGACAAAAGAAGCAAGUUGGUUUUCUGGAGUCUGGGGCAUCUGGGAUCCUUCAGGCUCAGGGCCCAGGGCCAGAGGUCUGACCCCUUAUGACAGGACUGUG